UACGGGGGGAGCAAGCGUUGUUCGGAUUUACUGGGCGUAAAGGGCGCGUAGGCGGCCACCGCAAGUCGACUGUGAAAUCUCCGGGCUUAACCCGGAAAGGUCAGCCGAUACUGCGGGGCUAGAGUGCAGAAGGGGCAACUGGAAUUCUCGGUGUAGCGGUGAAAUGCGUAGAUAUCUGGAGGAACACCGGUGGCGAAGGCGGCAUCCUGGACAAAUAUUGACGCUGAGGAGCGAAAGCCAGGGGAGCAAACGGG
rnacentral:rRNA from 1 species